UACGUAGGGUGCGAGCGUUGUCCGGAUUUAUUGGGCGUAAAGAGCUUGUGGGCGGCUCGUCGCGUCGGGUGUGAAAACUUGCGGCUUAACCGCAAGCCUGCACCCGAUACGGGCGGGCUAGAGUUCGGCAGGGGAGACUGGAAUUCCUGGUGUAGCGGUGAAAUGCGCAGAUAUCAGGAGGAACACCGGUGGCGAAGGCGGGUCUCUGGGCCGAUACUGACGCUGAGGAGCGAAAGCGUGGGGAGCGAACAGG
rnacentral:rRNA from 1 species